UCAUUACUGAAGCAUUCUUCACAACUCUAUUAAAUCCAGCAGCAACUGGAAGGUCUUUCUUGUCAGAAGAUUACAUCCACUAAGCAACUUUGAAGUACCCUGGAAAAAGACGUCCAAAGACAGAAAAUGCUUGAAUCAUCUGUAUGAGCCAUAUCCUCAGGGCUGUAAAUUCAGCAAUCAUUAGGUAAACACCAAGAUCUAAAGCUGGAAUAAAGAACAUACCCUGCACCAGAGUCCACAGAGGAAAGAGCUCCUGUAGAGUCCUAGAAGGAAUGACGACACUCUGCCCCAGCUGCUACCGGACAGGAGUGCAGAGAGAAUCUAGAUACAGCCAUGUCUGUGUUCUGCUGAAUCUGAGUUCAAACAAGUUUGAAAAGUGGUUUGAUUAAUCCAACAGUUCUGUAACCCCGUUUAAAUUUGCCAUCAGGGCCUGGGAAAGACAGGGGUGAGAGACGACAGCUAAUUGUCACCAUGUUGAGAAGAAAAGCUCACACUCUUGUUAAGGCAACCUAUUUUUCUGACCGCCUUGAACCUUCUUUCACAGAAACCAGCUCACCAAAAAAAAAAAAA